rnacentral:rRNA from 1 species
GGUUAAGCGACUAAGCGUACACGGUGGAUGCCCUGGCAGUCAGAGGCGAUGAAGGACGUGCUAAUCUGCGAUAAGCGUCGGUAAGGUGAUAUGAACCGUUAUAACCGGCGAUUUCCGAAUGGGGAAACCCAGUGUGAUUCGUCACACUAUCAUUAACUGAAUCCAUAGGUUAAUGAGGCGAACCGGGGGAACUGAAACAUCUAAGUACCCCGAGGAAAAGAAAUCAACCGAGAUUCCCCCAGUAGCGGCGAGCGAACGGGGAGCAGCCCAGAGCCUGAAUCAGUGUGUGUGUUAGUGGAAGCGUCUGGAAAGGCGCGCGAUACAGGGUGACAGCCCCGUACACAAAAAUGCACAUGCUGUGAGCUCGAUGAGUAGGGCGGGACACGUGGUAUCCUGUCUGAAUAUGGGGGGACCAUCCUCCAAGGCUAAAUACUCCUGACUGACCGAUAGUGAACCAGUACCGUGAGGGAAAGGCGAAAAGAACCCCGGCGAGGGGAGUGAAAAAGAACCUGAAACCGUGUACGUACAAGCAGUGGGAGCACGCUUAGGCGUGUGACUGCGUACCUUUUGUAUAAUGGGUCAGCGACUUAUAUUCUGUAGCAAGGUUAACCGAAUAGGGGAGCCGAAGGGAAACCGAGUCUUAACUGGGCGUUAAGUUGCAGGGUAUAGACCCGAAACCCGGUGAUCUAGCCAUGGGCAGGUUGAAGGUUGGGUAACACUAACUGGAGGACCGAACCGACUAAUGUUGAAAAAUUAGCGGAUGACUUGUGGCUGGGGGUGAAAGGCCAAUCAAACCGGGAGAUAGCUGGUUCUCCCCGAAAGCUAUUUAGGUAGCGCCUCGUGAAUUCAUCUCCGGGGGUAGAGCACUGUUUCGGCAAGGGGGUCAUCCCGACUUACCAACCCGAUGCAAACUGCGAAUACCGGAGAAUGUUAUCACGGGAGACACACGGCGGGUGCUAACGUCCGUCGUGAAGAGGGAAACAACCCAGACCGCCAGCUAAGGUCCCAAAGUCAUGGUUAAGUGGGAAACGAUGUGGGAAGGCCCAGACAGCCAGGAUGUUGGCUUAGAAGCAGCCAUCAUUUAAAGAAAGCGUAAUAGCUCACUGGUCGAGUCGGCCUGCGCGGAAGAUGUAACGGGGCUAAACCAUGCACCGAAGCUGCGGCAGCGACGCUUAUGCGUUGUUGGGUAGGGGAGCGUUCUGUAAGCCUGCGAAGGUGUGCUGUGAGGCAUGCUGGAGGUAUCAGAAGUGCGAAUGCUGACAUAAGUAACGAUAAAGCGGGUGAAAAGCCCGCUCGCCGGA